rnacentral:rRNA from 1 species
AUUGAACGCUGGCGGCAUGCCUUACACAUGCAAGUCGAACGGCAGCACGGGAGCUUGCUCCUGGUGGCGAGUGGCGAACGGGUGAGUAAUACAUCGGAACGUACCCUGAAGUGGGGGAUAACGUAGCGAAAGUUACGCUAAUACCGCAUAUUCUGUGAGCAGGAAAGAGGGGGAUCGCAAGACCUCUUGCUUUAGGAGCGGCCGAUGUCGGAUUAGCUAGUUGGUGAGGUAAAGGCUCACCAAGGCGACGAUCCGUAGCGGGUCUGAGAGGAUGAUCCGCCACACUGGGACUGAGACACGGCCCAGACUCCUACGGGAGGCAGCAGUGGGGAAUUUUGGACAAUGGGCGCAAGCCUGAUCCAGCCAUGCCGCGUGAGUGAAGAAGGCCUUCGGGUUGUAAAGUACGUCUUUCGGUGGGUAGGAAAGUUAGCUUCGGUUAUACCUGGAGUAGAUGACGUA